AUUGAACGCUGGCGGCAGGCCUAACACAUGCAAGUCGAACGAGUGGCGGACGGGUGAGUAAUGCAUGGGAAACUGCCUGAUGGAGGGGGAUAACUACUGGAAACUGUAGCUAAUACCUCAUACCAUCGGCUUUGCCCAGAUGGGAUUAGCUAGUAGGUGGGGUAAAGGCUCACCUAGGCGACUAUCCCUAGCUGGUCUGAGAGGAUGACCAGCCACACUGGGACUGAGACACGGCCCAGAAUCCUACGGGAGGCAGCAGUGGGGAAUAUGGCACAAUGGGCGCAAGCCUGAUGCAGCCAUGCCGCGUGUAUGAAGAAGGCCUUCGGGUUGUAAAGUACUUUCAGUAGGGAGGCGUUACCCACAGAAGAAGCACCGGCUAACUCCGUGCCAGAAGCCGCGGUAAUUC
rnacentral:rRNA from 1 species